rfam:Glycine soja cultivar W05 scaffold5015_7, whole genome shotgun sequence.
GGAUAUGUCCGAGUGGCUAAGGAGGCAGACUUGAAAUCUGCCGAGUUUCAGCCGCAGCAGGUUCGAGUCCCGCUGUUUUCU